rnacentral:misc_RNA from 2 species
CUGAGUACUACACUCUCUACCCUUUGUGAACUAUUAUACCUGUUGCUUCGGCGGCGCCCGCAAGGGUGCCCGCCGGUCUCAUCAGAAUCUCUGUUUUCGAACCCGACGAUACUUCUGAGUGUUCUUAGCGAACUGUCAAAACUUUUAACAACGGAUCUCUUGGCUCCAGCAUCGAUGAAGAACGCAGCGAAACGCGAUAUGUAAUGUGAAUUGCAGAAUUCAGUGAAUCAUCGAAUCUUUGAACGCACAUGGCGCCUUCCAGUAUCCUGGGAGGCAUGCCUGUCCGAGCGUCGUUUCAACCCUCGAGCCCCUGUGGCCCGGCGUUGGGGAUCUGCCACGGCAGGCCCCUAAAACCAGUGGCGGACCCGAAGGCCCUCUCCUUUGCGCAGUAGCAUCAGCCUCGCAUUGGGAUCCCUCGGCGUCCUGCCUCUAAACCCCCCACAAGUCCGCUCCGGCGGCAC